GACGAACGCUUGCGGCGUGCUUAACACAUGCAAGUCGAACGGAAAGGCCCUGCUUUUGUGGGGUGCUCGAGUGGCGAACGGGUGAGUAACACGUGAGUAACCUGCCCUUGACUUUGGGAUAACUUCAGGAAACUGGGGCUAAUACCGGAUAGGAGCUCCUGCUGCAUGGUGGGGGUUGGAAAGUUUCGGCGGUUGGGGAUGGACUCGCGGCUUAUCAGCUUGUUGGUGGGGUAGUGGCUUACCAAGGCUUUGACGGGUAGCCGGCCUGAGAGGGUGACCGGCCACAUUGGGACUGAGAUACGGCCCAGACUCCUACGGGAGGCAGCAGUGGGGAAUAUUGCACAAUGGGCGGAAGCCUGAUGCAGCAACGCCGCGUGCGGGAUGACGGCCUUCGGGCUGUAAACCGCUUUCGCCUGUGACGAAGCGUGAGUGACGGUAAUGGGUAAAGAAGCACCGGCUAACUACGUG
rnacentral:rRNA from 1 species